AUGAACGCUGACAGAAUGCUUCACACAUGCAAGUCUUUGGCGAAGCUGUGCUUGCACAGCCUAGCCAAGGCGGACGGGUGAGUAACGCGUAAGGAACUUGCCCUGCAGUCAGGGAUAACAGACGGAAACGACUGAUAAGACCUGGUAAAGUCAGGCGGACUCAUGUCCAGCCUGAUGAAAAGAGAUGCUGCAGGAGAGCCUUGCGUCCUAUUAGCUUGUUGGUGGGGUAACGGCCCACCAAGGCGAUGAUAGGUAGCCGGCCUGAGAGGGUGGACGGCCACAAGGGGACUGAGAUACGGCCCUUACUCCUACGGGAGGCAGCAGUGGGGAAUAUUGGACAAUGGGGGCAACCCUGAUCCAGCAAUUCUGUGUGCACGAUGAAGGUUUUCGGAGUGUAAAGUGCUUUCAGCAGGGAAGAAAAAAAUGACGGUACCUGCAGAAGAAGCGACGGCUAAAUACGUG
rnacentral:rRNA from 1 species